rnacentral:misc_RNA from 1 species
GCACAAGCUACAAAGAAAUUUUCUGAAACUCAGAUGGUUAUGAAUGUUCUCUGGACAAGAUUGAGUGAAACUGGUAAGAAUUGGCGUCUUGUCUAUAAGGCUUUGGCUGUUAUAGAGUAUUUGGUGGCGCAUGGAUCUGAACGUGCAGUGGAUGACAUUAUUGAACAUACUUUCCAGAUAUCUUCACUCUCGAGCUUUGAAUAUGUUGAGCCAAGUGGAAAGGACAUGGGCAUAAAUGUCAGGAAGAAGGCUGAAAACAUUGUGGCCCUUUUGAAUGAUAAAGAUAAAAUACAGGAAGUGAGAAAUAAAGCAGCUUCAAAUCGUGAAAAGUACUUUGGACUUUCUUCUACUGGAAUUACUUACAAGUCAG